rnacentral:rRNA from 1 species
UACGUAGGGUGCAAGCGUUGUCCGGAAUUAUUGGGCGUAAAGAGCUCGUAGGCGGUUUGUCGCGUCUGCUGUGAAAACUCGGGCUUAACCCCGGGCCUGCAGGUGGUACGGCAGACUAGAGUGCGGUAGGGGAGACUGGAAUUCCUGGUGUAGCGGUGAAAUGCGCAGAUAUCAGGAGGAACACCGGUGGCGAAGGCGGGUCUCUGGACCGGAUCUGACGCUGAGGCGCGAAAGCGUGGGGAGCAAACAGG